rnacentral:tRNA from 1 species
UCCCUGGUUGUACAGCAGCUAAGACACUGUGCUCUCAAUGCAGGGGUCCCAGGUUCAAUCCCUGGUCAGGGAA